CUCAUUCUCAUCAGACUGUCCUAUUGUCAUGAAGUUGGGUGAGCAUACAUAAGCUUGCAUGGAAACACACACACAUUUACACACACACUCGUAUAUAUAUAUAGUCCCCUAUAUAUGCUCAUAGCCUUGUAUACUAAGCUAAUAGCACUUGUAGAAGAGAGAGAGGGAGAGAGAGAGAGAGAGAGAGAGAGAGAGUAUGGGGAGAGGGAAAGUAGAGCUAAAGAGAAUUGAGAAUCCAACAAACAGACAAGUGACCUUCUCCAAGAGAAGGAAUGGGUUACUGAAGAAGGCUUUUGAGCUGUCUAUACUAUGUGAUGCUGAGGUUGCUCUUCUCAUUUUCUCCCCUUCUGGCAAGGCUUACCAGUUUGCUAGUCAUGACAUGACUAGGACCAUUGCAAGGUACAGGAAUGAAGUGGGAUUGUUUGAAGCAAAUAACCAAGGCUUUAGGACUUCUGAGAUUUUGAGGUCUGAAAUUGACGACUUGAAGAGAACGAUAGUCAGCUUGGAAGAAAGACUCAAGCAUUUUUCUGGGGAAGAUCUCUCGGUGUUGGGCAUGAAAGAGUUGAAACAACUGGAGCGCAAGUUGAGAAUUGGUGUUGAACGCAUUCGCUCUAAAAAGAGGCACAUCAUUUCGGAGCAUAUCAACUUUCUCAAGAGAAGGGUGAUGUAUCUUGAUCCUAACACAAGUUCAUGGCACAAAGCCUUGCAAGAGGAGAAUAUUCAUCUCCAGAAAAAAGUUAAGCUGCAUGAGCUGCAGGAGGGUAAUAACAGAAGCUCCAGAAUAUUUGGAGCAGAUGUUCAAAGGUAAAUGCAAUGCUGUCUUGCAUGUUCAAGUACUCGAUUUAAUGAAAAAGACAAAUGCAUCCAUAGCGGCCUGUUCAGGAUGGAGCUCACUGCUAAGCAGGAACCAAAUGGUCUUGCAUUGCUUGCUUCGGAGUAGCUUGAGUAAUUGUAGUUAAAUGAGUACUGGAUUGCACGACAGUGUGUGGUAACAAAAGGGUGAUUUUAGUGUACUAAAUAAUUAACUGUUGGUGUUUGAUAUGUGAAGCACAAAACUUCCUAUGAAAUUGAUGUGUGGUGCAGAUACUUGAAGCCAUUCACGGCCACUUUCUGUAUCCCACGCAUAUGCUGUAA